CUGAGGCGUGAUGACGAGGCACUACGGUGCUGAAGCAACAAAUGCCCUGCUUCCAGGAAAAGCCUCUAAGCAUCAGGUAACAUCAAAUCGUACCCCAAACCGACACAGGUGGUCAGGUAGAGAAUACCAAGGCGCUUGAGAGAACUCGGGUGAAGGAACUAGGCAAAAUGGUGCCGUAACUUCGGGAGAAGGCACGCUGACACGUAGGUGAAGUGAUUUACUCACGGAGCUGAAGUCAGUCGAAGAUACCAGCUGGCUGCAACUGUUUAUUAAAAACACAGCACUGUGCAAACACGAAAGUGGACGUAUACGGUGUGACGCCUGCCCGGUGCCGGAAGGUUAAUUGAUGGGGUCAGCGCAAGCGAAGCUCCUGAUCGAAGCCCCGGUAAACGGCGGCCGUAACUAUAACGGUCCUAAGGUAGCGAAAUUCCUUGUCGGGUAAGUUCCGACCUGCACGAAUGGCGUAAUGAUGGCCAGGCUGUCUCCACCCGAGACUCAGUGAAAUUGAACUCGCUGUGAAGAUGCAGUGUACCCGCGGCAAGACGGAAAGACCCCGUGAACCUUUACUAUAGCUUGACACUGAACAUUGAGCCUUGAUGUGUAGGAUAGGUGGGAGGCUUUGAAGUGUGGACGCCAGUCUGCAUGGAGCCGACCUUGAAAUACCACCCUUUAAUGUUUGAUGUUCUAACGUGGACCCGUAAUCCGGGUUGCGGACAGUGUCUGGUGGGUAGUUUGACUGGGGCGGUCUCCUCCUAAAGAGUAACGGAGGAGCACGAAGGUUGGCUAAUCCUGGUCGGACAUCAGGAGGUUAGUGCAAUGGCAUAAGCCAGCUUGACUGCGAGCGUGACGGCGCGAGCAGGUGCGAAAGCAGGUCAUAGUGAUCCGGUGGUUCUGAAUGGAAGGGCCAUCGCUCAACGGAUAAAAGGUACUCCGGGGAUAACAGGCUGAUACCGCCCAAGAGUUCAUAUCGACGGCGGUGUUUGGCACCUCGAUGUCGGCUCAUCACAUCCUGGGGCUGAAGUAGGUCCCAAGGGUAUGGCUGUUCGCCAUUUAAAGUGGUACGCGAGCUGGGUUUAGAACGUCGUGAGACAGUUCGGUCCCUAUCUGCCGUGGGCGCUGGAGAACUGAGGGGGGCUGCUCCUAGUACGAGAGGACCGGAGUGGACGCAUCACUGGUGUUCGGGUUGUCAUGCCAAUGGCACUGCCCGGUAGCUAAAUGCGGAAGAGAUAAGUGCUGAAAGCAUCUAAGCACGAAACUUGCCCCGAGAUGAGUUCUCCCUGAGACUUUAGGUCUCCUGAAGGAACGUUGAAGACGACGACGU
rnacentral:rRNA from 1 species